rnacentral:rRNA from 1 species
UACGUAGGGGGCAAGCGUUGUCCGGAUUUAUUGGGCGUAAAGAGCGUGUAGGCGGUUUGGUAGGUCCGUUGUGAAAACUCGAGGCUCAACCUCGAGACGCCGAUGGAAACCAUCAGACUAGAGUCCGGAAGAGGAGAGUGGAAUUCCUGGUGUAGCGGUGAAAUGCGUAGAUAUCGGGAGGAACACCUGUGGCGAAAGCGGCUCACUGGACCAUUACUGACGCUGAUGCUCGAAAGCUAGGGGAGCAAACAGG